rnacentral:piRNA from 1 species
UCUGAAGAUUCCCCAAGUCAGGCAGACAAG